GCCGAGCUAGCCUAGUUGGUCAUGGCGCGCCCCUGAAGAGGGUGAGAUUCAGGUUCGAUUCCUGAGCUCGGCACCA
rnacentral:tRNA from 1 species